AAUAUUUAUGUAAAAUUUGAUAUUUAAAUAAUAGAAUAACAUUCUACUCCACUCGAAUAAUAUCAUUACCCUGUGUGAUAAUGGUGACAAUUUAAGUACUCUACUAUGGAAAGCAAUUGGAAUAGGCCGUUAUAAGAUUUCUUUGGGCCUGACGGUUUUGGCAGCCAAUGGGAUUGUCCGACCCGCGCGGCUUGUAACGGCCCGCCAUGAUCCGGGCUCCGUCGCUUUUCCCGCGCCUCCCAGGCGCCCUCCCGGUAACCGUGAAGCGGAGCGCCGAAGCCUACCAUGCCAGAGACGACAAGUCCACCCUCACCGUCAAUAGCUCAGAAAUCGCCGGCGUCGAGCUGCUGCAGGUUGGGCGACACCUCCUUCGCCCUUGACGACGGCAUGGGGCGGAUUGACAUAAAUAGAUGGGUAAAUGAAAUCUCAGAUGCGAAUGAAGUGGUUGCUGUCUAGUAAGCGUUGUUGAUUGGUGCUUUUAAUUGAUUGGUUCCCGAUAUCUACUUUCUUGAUCGUGCUUUGAUGGAUUUGCGCUGUUUGGGUUUUCUUUGAGCAAUAAUAAAGAGAUGAGAUAUAUGUUCGAGUCAAUGCUCAUUUGAAGGGUUUCAGGGCAAAAGACGUGCCUUCUCUGUCAGGUCUGUGACUGACUCCACUUCAUUGAAUGCAUAUAUGUACAUGUCAAAAACGCUGGAGUGAAGGUACUUGCAUGUAGAGAGGUACAGAAAGGAGUUCCAGCUGAAAUCCAGACAAAUCCAAUCAUGGGAACCACUUUUUCUAAUGGAGUAAAAGGAGAGCAUGCUCUUCGUACAAAUCAACUAAAGCAACCAUGGAAUUUGUUUCUUUCUCUUCCCUCUUCAUGGUGACUGUGAAUUCUUCGUGAAGCUAAAGCAGACGUUGCUUGGAUGUUUCUGUUGCUCAGAAGGAAAGAAGAAGGCAGAAGUGCGCAACUGGACGAAGGCAAGAGGUAAGAGUGGAACCGGAUGAGAUAUUUGGUACCAAGGUGCUAUAAUCUAUGAUGUUCGUGUUUGAUUGGGGUCUUGAGUACGUUCUGCCGUAUUGGAACUUUUCUUUUUCUUUAUUUGAUUACGGAAUAAGUGGAAGAUAUCCCCAAGUAAGGGGAUAUCCUCUCAAAAUCUUGCCAAACUUCAAGAAGUUGUGUCUUAUUCCUUGUGGGAGAUAUCCCAUCUUAUACUAGAAAAUAGGCUUGUUCUUAUUCCGUUUCAGUUAUCAUUUUACUCUUAACAAACACUGAAAAUGUAAGGGGGCAAUUUGGUCUUAUGAAAAAAAACUAUUUCAUGAAACAAAUGCUAAUCUUGGUAGUGCAGAUCCUAAAGAUUUCCAAUCAUCUGUCAAAACUGAAUAAAUAAUUUGGUCAAAUAUUAAAUAGAAGUCUUCAAUCAAAACUAUAUCAAAGUUUUAGAUAAUAAGAAUUAUCUGCUUCAAUAAAUUUUUGUUGUAUGGUUGUAGACCCUCUUGGAGAAAGACUGCAUUUACAAACCCUAUUAUGGUACCAAAAGAGCGUUCUAUAUUGUUAUUGGUGCAAUGGUACCAAAUGAUCUCUAAAAUUGUGCUAGCCUUAGGUCAUGUUCGAUUGUUGUUUGAUGUAUGCCAAUUGGUUGUAGAGAAUUAGUAGUUAAAUUAGGAAAAAAAAAACUCGUCCUUUUGUAAGAAUGAACUCAAAAAAAUCAUUCAGAAAAGUUACCCAGAUGUUUUGUACAUUCAUUUUGCUUCAUUAAAUAGCACACUCUAAGAUCCCAAUUCAAAGGGAAUAGUGAGAAUACACCACAUUGGCUGAGUUAUUUAUUUGAGUUACUCAAGCUUUUCUGUAUUCAAACCUAAUCCUCUCUCACAUUGAGCCAAAUAAAAUUAUGCCGUAAGAAAUAAAUAUAUUUCAUAAAAUAGCUCCUUAUUCCGCCACCCGGGCUAACUUAAUCUAGAAUCAAGACACAUCUCAAGACUAUAUAGAGCAAUAACUUUUGUCAGGCAAUACAUAUCAUGUUAGAGCAUGUUUAAGUAAUGAGGAUUUGGAUAUACUUUUGGACAAAAUUUAUUCAAAUAA